GAUGAACGCUGGCGGCGUGCUUAACACAUGCAAGUCGAACGAGAAAUGGAGACGGAAACCUUCGGGCGGAAGGCUUCAUUUCGAGUGGCGGACGGGUGAGUAACGCGUGGGUAACCUGCCUCAUACAGGGGGAUAACAGUUGGAAACGACUGUUAAUACCGCAUAAGACCACAGCACCGCAUGGUGCGGGGGUAAAAACUCCGGUGGUAUGAGAUGGACCCGCGUUCGAUUAGCCAGUUGGCGGGGUAACGGCCACCAAAGCGACGAUCGAUAGCCGAUCUGAGAGGAUGACCGGCCACAUUGGGACUGAGACACGGCCCAAACUCCUACGGGAGGCAGCAGUGGGGAAUAUUGCACAAUGGGGGAAACCCUGAUGCAGCGACGCCGCGUGAGUGAAGAAGUACUUCGGUAUGUAAAGCUCUAUCAGCAGGGAAGAAAAUGACGGUACCUGAGUAAGAAGCCCCGGCUAACUACGUG
rnacentral:rRNA from 1 species